rnacentral:rRNA from 1 species
AGCGGCGGACGGGUGAGUAACACGUGGGUAACCUGCCCAAGAGACUGGGAUAACACCUGGAAACAGAUGCUAAUACCGGAUAACAACACUAGACGCAUGUCUAGAGUUUGAAAGAUGGUUCUGCUAUCACUCUUGGAUGGACCUGCGGUGCAUUAGCUAGUUGGUAAGGUAACGGCUUACCAAGGCAAUGAUGCAUAGCCGAGUUGAGAGACUGAUCGGCCACAUUGGGACUGAGACACGGCCCAAACUCCUACGGGAGGCAGCAGUAGGGAAUCUUCCACAAUGGACGAAAGUCUGAUGGAGCAACGCCGCGUGAGUGAAGAAGGGUUUCGGCUCGUAAAGCUCUGUUGGUAGUGAAGAAAGAUAGAGGUAGUAACUGGCCUUUAUUUGACGGUAAUUACUUAGAAAGUCACGGCUAACUACGUGCCAGCAGCCGCGGUAAUACGUAGGUGGCAAGCGUUGUCCGGAUUUAUUGGGCGUAAAGCGAGUGCAGGCGGUUCAAUAAGUCUGAUGUGAAAGCCAUCGGCUCAACCGGAGAAUUGCAUCAGAAACUGUUGAACUUGAGUGCAGAAGAGGAGAGUGGAACUCCAUGUGUAGCGGUGGAAUGCGUAGAUAUAUGGAAGAACACCAGUGGCGAAGGCGGCUCUCUGGUCUGCAACUGACGCUGAGGCUCGAAAGCAUGGGUAGCGAACAGGAUUAGAUACCCUGGUAGUCCAUGCCGUAAACGAUGAGUGCUAAGUGU